rnacentral:pre_miRNA from 1 species
AAAAUGACAAACCCUAAAUUUCCGUGUCCAACUUUAACUGUCCGUCUUGUAUGAAAUUUUUUUAUAAUUCGUAUUUUCAUUGCUGUUUGAUAAUAAAACAUGAUUAAUAUUUUUUGUGUGGCUUGUCUUUUUAAUUUUUUUUCAUAAUUUUUUAAAAUAAGACGGACGGUCAAACGUUGAACAUGGAAACUAUGGUUUGUCUUUUU